GUUAAUGUAAGUCAAGUGCAUUCUCUGCACUGUCGCGCCUCGGCCCCACAGUCCAAUUUAAGACACCUUAGAUA
rnacentral:tRNA from 1 species